rnacentral:tRNA from 1 species
GGCAGUGUUGUUCAGUGGAUAAAGCACACUGGCCUGUGAGUCAUGAAAUCUGGAUUCUAUUUCCAGCUCUGCCA